CAUCGUUCACAAUCCCUCCAAAGCUACCAAUCCUCCAAGAAUAUAUUCCCAGUAUUUAGUUUGGGCCUUUAUCACGAGUGGAGGACGAUUAUAGAAGCAAACAUACGGAGAAAUACAUGGCAACACAACAACUGCUAGAACAGUGGGAGGAGAACAUUAGAGCUAGAGUACAUAAGCCGAAAUGUGACCUUGAACUUUUAAAAAGGAGGGGUGGUACGAGAAGUCGGGACACCAACCCAACGAAGAGAUGAGAAAAUUACCCUCGGAGGGUUUUCGUGCUAUUGUAACUUGGCAAUCAAAUGAGGUUCCAAUCGGAAAGUGGGCCAAUAGGUUCAACUCAUAUAUCGGGAUUCUAGUACAGAGAAGUGAUUUUGCGAACCCUUGUUUUUUAAGCCAGAGCAGUAGCCCUUCAAUUUACUAGAGCAUGUAUGGCGACAUCUUUUGAGAUUCUUCAACCUCAAGGAGAACAAUAAAGGUUAGGAGUAUUUAUUUGGAAAAGCUAGAAAAUAUAAUCAUGCUAUAGGAUACGGAGGUAUGAGUUCAAGUUGAAUUACCAUAUGAAGAUCGAACACGACUAGGAGAGGUUUUGGAAGCAAGAUAAGAGAGUUGAUGAAGAUCAAUUCGGUGUUCUUUUGAUAUUAUGGGGACAAUCAAGACUUCAAAGUAAGUUAGACCAUAGAGUAAUCAACAUUCUGAAUAAAGAGAUUUAAUAUAUAUUUAAUUGUAAAUAUUGUACAUUAUUUUUUUCUUUGUGCCAAAAUUCAUGUUUUUUAGAGGAUAAAUGUAAAAGGAAUUCAGAAUA